rnacentral:rRNA from 1 species
ACGGGAGGCAGCAGUGGGGAAUAUUGCACAAUGGGCGCAAGCCUGAUGCAGCGAUGCCGCGUGAGGGAAGAAGGUUUUCGGAUUGUAAACCUCUGUCAACAGGGACGAAAAUGACGGUACCUGUGAAGGAAGCUCCGGCUAACUACGUGCCAGCAGCCGCGGUAAUACGUAGGGAGCAAGCGUUAUCCGGAAUUACUGGGUGUAAAGGGAGUGUAGGCGGGACUGUAAGUCAGAUGUGAAAUAUGCGGGCUUAACUGGCAGACUGCAUUUGAAACUGCGGUUCUUGAGUGAAGUAGAGGUAAGCGGAAUUCCUAGUGUAGCGGUGAAAUGCGUAGAUAUUAGGAGGAACAUCAGUGGCGAAGGCGGCUUACUGGGCUUUAACUGACGCUGAGGCUCGAAAGCGUGGGGAGCAAACAGGAUUAGAUACCCUGGUA